CUUGGAUUAAGCGGAAUUCCACCACAAUUUGUGUAUUGCAUACACUGAUAAAUGCAAAGUGUUUAUUUAAACAGAUGAAUGAAGGAUAGAUGAAGAUAAGAAUAUCGUUCCUUGUCAUUGUAUUAAUUUUCAUAACUACUUACGAUGUGACAGAGGCGACAUGUGCUGCAAAUGAGUUUCAGUGCGACGAUGGA